rnacentral:rRNA from 1 species
UAAUUCUCCCGUAGCUUGCUACAUUUGAAUUGAUUUGAGUCGCGAACGGGUGAGUAACGCGUAGGUAACCUACCUUAUAGCGGGGGAUAACUAUUGGAAACGAUAGCUAAUACCGCAUAAGAGUUGACAACACAUGUUGUUAAUUUAAAAGGAGCAAUUGCUUCACUAUGAGAUGGACCUGCGUUGUAUUAGCUAGUUGGUAAGGUAACGGCUUACCAAGGCAUCGAUACAUAGCCGACUUGAGAGGGUGAUCGGCCACACUGGGACUGAGACACGGCCCAGACUCCUACGGGAGGCAGCAGUAGGGAAUCUUCGGCAAUGGGGGGAACCCUGACCGAGCAACGCCGCGUGAGUGAAGAAGGUUUUCGGAUCGUAAAGCUCUGUUAUAAGCGAAGAACGGGAGUAAGAGUGGAAAGUUUACUCUGUGACGGUAGCUUAUCAGAAAGGGACGGCUAACUACGUGCCAGCAGCCGCGGUAAUACGUAGGUCCCGAGCGUUGUCCGGAUUUAUUGGGCGUAAAGCGAGCGCAGGUGGUUUAAUAAGUCUGAAGUUAAAGGCAUUGGCUCAACCAAUGUACGCUUUGGAAACUGUUAAACUUGAGUGCAGAAGGGGAGAGUGGAAUUCCAUGUGUAGCGGUGAAAUGCGUAGAUAUAUGGAGGAACACCGGUGGCGAAAGCGGCUCUCUGGUCUGUAACUGACACUGAGGCUCGAAAGCGUGGGUAGCGAACAGGAUUAGAUACCCUGGUAGUCCACGCCGUAAACGAUGAGUGCUAGGUGUUGGGUCCUUUCCGGGACUCAGUGCCGCAGCUAACGCAUUAAGCACUCCGCCUGGGGAGUACGACCGCAAGGUUGAAACUCAAAGGAAUUGACGGGGGCCCGCACAAGCGGUGGAGCAUGUGGUUUAAUUCGAAGCAACGCGAAGAACCUUACCAGGUCUUGACAUCCCGAUGCCCGUCCUAGAGAUAGGAUUUUACUUUGGUACAUCGGUGACAGGUGGUGCAUGGUUGUCGUCAGCUCGUGUCGUGAGAUGUUGGGUUAAGUCCCG